rnacentral:tRNA from 1 species
AUAUAGCUUAGUGGCACAAGCACCUGCCUGGCAAGCAUGAGGUCCAGAGUUCAAUUCCUGGUGU